CCCUUAGAUGCUCUGGGCCGCACGCGCGCUACACUGGUCGAUGCAACGAGUUUCUUUCCUUGGCCGACAGGCCUGGGCAAUCUUUGAACAUCGAUCGUGAUCGGGAUAGAUUCUUGUAAUUUUUGAUCUUAAACGAGGAAUUCCUAGUAAACGCAAGUCAUCAGCUUGCAUUGAUUACGUCCCUGCCCUUUGUACACACCGCCCGUCGCACCUACCGAUUGAAUGGUCCGGUGAAAUCUCCGGACUGACGUGAGUCGGAGCAAUCUGACAAACGCCGGAAAGUUGAUUAAACCUUACCAUUUAGAGGAAGGUGAAGUCGUAACA
rnacentral:rRNA from 1 species